rnacentral:rRNA from 1 species
UACGUAGGGGGCAAGCGUUGUCCGGAUUUAUUGGGCGUAAAGAGCGUGUAGGCGGCUUUACAGGUCCGUUGUGAAAACUCGAGGCUCAACCUCGAGACGCCGGUGGAAACCGUAAAGCUAGAGUCCGGAAGAGGAGAGUGGAAUUCCUGGUGUAGCGGUGAAAUGCGCAGAUAUCAGGAAGAACACCCGUGGCGAAGGCGGCUCUCUGGGACGGUACUGACGCUGAGACGCGAAAGCGUGGGGAGCAAACGGG